GAUGAACGCUGGCGGCGUGCUUAACACAUGCAAGUCGAACGGUGAAGCUCCAGCUUGCUGGAGUGGAUCAGUGGCGAACGGGUGAGUAACACGUGAGCAACCUGCCCCUGACUCUGGGAUAACAGCCGGAAACGGCUGCUAAUACCGGAUAUGCACCAUGAACGCAUGUUCUGUGGUGGGAAAGAUGUUUCGGUUGGGGAUGGGCUCGCGGCCUAUCAGCUUGUUGGUGAGGUAAUGGCUCACCAAGGCGUCGACGGGUAGCCGGCCUGGGAGGGUGACCGGCCCCCCUGGGACUGGGGCAGGGACCAGACUCCUACGGGGGGCAACCGGGGGGAAUAUGGCACAAUGGGCCGAAGCCGGGUGCAACAACCCCGGGGUUGGGAAGACGGGCUUUGGGGUGUGAACCUCUUUUAGCAGGGAAGAAGCGAGAGUGACGGUACCUGCAGAAAAAGCGCCGGCUAACUACGUG
rnacentral:rRNA from 1 species